rnacentral:rRNA from 1 species
GACGUAGGGUGCGAGCGUUGUCCGGAUUUAUUGGACGUAAAGAGCUCGUAGGCGGCUCGUCGCGUCAGCUGUGAAAACCCGCAGCUUAACUGUGGGCUUGCAGCUGAUACGGGCGGGCUAGAGUUCGGUAGGGGAGACUGGAAUUCCUGGUGUAGCGGUGAAAUGCGCAGAUAUCAGGAGGAACACCGAUUGCGAAGGCAGCUCGCUGGAACGUUACUGACGCU